rnacentral:lncRNA from 1 species
CACCCAACCUCCAACCCCGCCGUGUAAAAUGGGAGCAUUGUGACUGCAGACCUGCUCUCAUCUUCAUGUACACUUUCUUUUUUCCCCUUCUCCCAGUACAUAAUGACCCCAGACUAUGUGACGACAGGCAUUGUAUCCGACCAACACAGGCAUUAAAGAUGAGGAUCUGAUUCUGAGGCAGCUGCCGUCACUGCUUCCAGCUACAUUUAAGAAAUUUCCCUCCAUCAAACUUCAGAGUGAACAAAGCGGCCACACUACACCUGACAGAUGGCUGAGCUUCAGGCAGCGGUGCAGCAGUGUAAUUGGAAGACGAGGCUCUCCGUCCCCGGCUUGUAAUAUCUGUGAGGUGGAGAUGGAGGGACUGCUGCGGAUGGAGGAGCUGCAGCAGCCGGGGCUGUGUUGCCGCUCCGCACAGACACCGGGACCAGAGCCGCAGCCUGCAAAUGAAUCCGAAAAUAAUGAAGAGCCGCUGGACACACACCUCUUCUUCCUCUUCCCCUUCUUCUUUUUCUUCCUCAUCAUCUUCUUUCACCACCAUGCGGAGGCUCUCUGA